UACGUAGGUGGCAAGCGUUAUCCGGAAUUAUUGGGCGUAAAGCGCUCGCAGGCGGUUUCUUAAGUCUGAUGUGAAAGCCCACGGCUCAACCGUGGAGGGUCACGCGAUACUGGUCGACUCGAAGGCAGGAGAGGGUAGUGGAAUUCCCGGUGUAGUGGUGAAAUGCGUAGAUAUCGGGAGGAACACCAGUGGCGAAGGCGGCCUUCUGGACGAUGACUGACGCUGAAGCGCGAAAGCGUGGGGAGCAAACAGG
rnacentral:rRNA from 1 species